CGCUAAGAAGCUAAAUAGGAAAAUAGCACUAGCCUUUUAAGCUAGAGAUUGGUGAUUUCCAACCACCCUUAGCGA
rnacentral:tRNA from 1 species